rnacentral:rRNA from 1 species
UAAGACCUACGGGGCGCAGCAGUGGGGGAUAUUGCACAAUGGGGGGAACCCUGAUGCAGCGACGCCGCGUGGGUGAAGAAGCGCCUCGGCGCGUAAAGCCCUGUCAGCAGGGAAGAAAAUGACGGUACCUGAAGAAGAAGCCCCGGCUAACUACGUGCCAGCAGCCGCGGUAAUACGUAGGGGGCAAGCGUUAUCCGGAGUUACUGGGUGUAAAGGGGGCGCAGGCGGCGAUGAAAGCCAGGAGUGGAAG